UCGGAAUCGUUUGUGACCGUAAUCGAUCAUUUUCAUUUCGCUAUGUUCUCUCUGUUGGUGUUCAUGUGCUUUGGGGACAAGCUCCAUGAGAAUCAAAUUAAAGAAAUUGAAACCAUACAGCGGCGAUGGCUUUUGAAUUUUCGUACAUUUAAUGUGCUCAACUUCUUGCCUCGAUUAGGGAGAAUUUUGUUUCGUAAUCGCUGGAAUGAGCUGAUUCGACUACGCCAAGAACAGGAAAACGUGUAUAUCCCUCUGAUUAGAACUCGUCUCCAAGCCAAACAAAGGCCUAUCAAUCAAAGUGAAGAGCAAGAGGCCGAAGUGGUUGCUUAUGUAGACUCGCUGGCAGACCUAAAGCUACCGGAGGAAAACAGAAAGCUAGAUGAGAGGGAAAUGGUGAGUCUAUGCAGUGAAUUUCUUAAUGCAGGCACCGAUACCACAGCCACGGCUUUGCAGUGGAUCAUGGCUAACUUGGUUAAACACCCCGAGAUUCAAUCCAAGCUUUACGAUGAGAUAAUUGAAGUUGUGGGACUGCCUCCAGCAAUGGCAAUGUCUAGUAAUGAAGAGUCAAGCAUGCAGCAAAUGAUAAAGGAGGAAGAAUUACAGAAGAUGCCAUACUUGAAGGCAGUCGUGUUAGAAGCAUUGAGGCGCCACCCGCCAGGGCACUUCGUGUUGCCCCAUCGGGUCUCAGAGGAAGUUGAAUUGGAUGGUUUUGUGAUCCCGAAGAACGGGCUUGUGAAUUUCAUGGUGGCCGACAUGGGUUUGGAUCCAAAAGUGUGGGAGGAUCCGAUGGAAUUCAAUCCCGAAAGCUUCUUAGCAGAUGGUGGGGAGGCGUUUGAUGUAACGGGGAGUAGGGAGAUCAAGAUGAUGCCAUUCGGUGCAGGGAGGAGAAUAUGUCCCGGGUGGGCUCUGGCUCUGCUUCACUUGGAGUACUUUGUUGCCAAUCUGAUUUGGUACUUUAAAUGGACAGCCCUCGAUGGAGACGAUAUUGAUCUGUCAGAGAAGCAAGAGUUCACCACUGUCAUGAAGAAUCCAUUGCGAGCUCGAAUCUCUCCUAGAGUUCCAUAAGUUUAUAUCCGGUAAUUACAAUUACGACUUAUCGUUAAGUUUUAUUCGAAAGUUUAUGCAAUAUUCACUUCGUUCUCAUGUGUUGAAACUCUAUAUGCAUAAUUAUUCUAUAAAUGAAUCUACGUUAUCUCGUUUUUAUGGGCUCUUUCGGUGUUCUUUUUGGGUUGUCACUUUUGAACACGUCUAGAAAUAUAACCUCUUCCUUAAAAGGAAUAUGUGAUACUGGCAUGUUUCACACACUAACAAGAAUAAUAUUAUACUAUUGUAAUCGAAAAACAUUAGUUCAUCGGUUGAGCAGUUCAAGUUCAAACAAUAUCACAAGAAACUGUUGAGAAUAUCUGCAGGUUGAAUGAUCUACUCACUUGAGUAUUUUGUGCCGUGAUCAAUGUGCUAAAGCAUAAGAACGACCUGCCAGAGCUCCAUCUAAAGAAUUUUGACAUUUGUACAUUCUUAAAUUAUAUCAUUGUUGACAUUCUCUUUGUUUUUCAACAAAUGUUAGGACGGGAAAACUGUAUAUCUAUUUUUUUUAAAAGUUGUUGAAUGACAGAUUGCCACAUUUGUCGAAUGACAGUUUACCAUGUGGCAAACUAUCAAACUUGGUGUACACAAAGCAAGAUUGCCAUCUAAAUGUAUUCCUUCAGACAUUAGUGAUUGAUUGAUUUUAUUUUUAUCUAUAACUCCAAAGAAAUGACAAGAAAACUCCUUGAGAGGAUGUGUUUGCCCAGCAGAUCCCAUCGAGUAAGGGUGUGAUUGAUUGAUUUUAUUUUUUGUUUUUGAUAAUUUUACUCUUUCGAUCAGAUAUCAAAUGUGUGUCGCAUGACCAUUUAAAGUUUAAAUAGAGAUUUUCUGUUACACAAUUGAGAAUAUGGGUAUCACAAAUAGAAUAGUGAAGACAUGGCCGUUACACUUACUAAAUGUUCAUGACUCCUAGAGAAAUUAACACUUUAAUUUUGCAAGCUAUUGCAUCCUUUAAAUAUUGCCGACCGUUAAGUUCGAAUAUCAUUUUAUAUUAUAAUUAACAGAUGAGAUAUUCUAUAAACGUUAUUAUUUGUGGUGAAAUUUCAAUAGGUAUUUGAUUUUUCUGCUACUUGCUGACCAAAUUUUUGUAGAAAAAUCAUAUUAUUUUAUUUAACAACUGGAAUCCGAUCGAUAAGUUAAAUUUAUAUGUUUAUAUCAACGAGGUAAAAAGGUGAUAAUUUGUUUUUGCCUCCGAAGACAAGAAUGAGGAAAUGAAGGAGCUUUUGCUGUUAUUGAUCAAUUGACUAGACCUUGUGCUUAUUGAUGUUGAAAUUUCGUUAUUCUUGUCAAAGAAGUCUUCCGUCCGUUUGUGAAAAUCAUGAUAUCAUCUACAAAACUUUGUGAGACGCUCAAAUGCUACCUCCCGUAGAUUUGGCGGUGAGAAUGAAUAGUGCAAGCGAUAGGAUCAUCGUGUCUUGGGCAAAACCCGCCUGUUCUCCAUUAAUAAAAGUAGAGUAAAUCAGCAAUUACACACACCUCUUAAUUUUAUUAACCCCCCGUCCCGUGCUAUCAAAGUCUAACAUCUCUAAUACUCAGAUUAAUGGUUCAUUUGGCAAGACUUUUGAAGUCAAAAUAAGCUUUUGAGAUCCAAAAAUUACUUCUAAACCUAUUUUGCUAAUUUUAUAAAAGUGCUUCUUCUAACCAAAAGGGAUUUUAGAUAAGCUAGUCGAAUGUAACUUUUUCUAGAAUCAUUUAUGAAAGAGUCCGUUUGAUUGUAAAGAUGGAAUUGAAUUGAAAACGAAUUCCAGAUAAUUGAAUUGCCUAGAAGUUGUUUUCUUGAGAAUUGUAAUUUAUUGUGUUUGAUUGGUAUAAUUUUUCAAAUAAAAAAUGUUGAAGUAAAUGUGUUUUUUAGUGUUCGUUUGGCUUUACUUUACAUGAAAAUUAUCGAUUAAAGGAAUAGAUUUUACUGGUAUUGGGGAUGAAAUUUGUUUCCAUUGCCAACCAAAAAAAAAAAAUUCAAGAAAAUCAUCUAUCUUUUGGUGUUCGUUUGUCUUUAUUUUACAUGAAAAUUGUCAAUUAACAGAAAAUAUUUUUUUACAAUUAUUCUUAAAAUUUGUUUCCAUUGCACAAAAAAAUAAAAUAAAAAAAAUUGCUACUGUAAUCCGGGAAAAUCUUAAAAAAGAAGGAAAAUAUCUAUGUGACAUCGAAAUGUGGAAAUUGAAUUCCAAGAAAAAUUUUGCCAAUCAAACACCAAAAAAAAGAAAAAGAUGGAAUUGCAAUUCCAUUUUCCAUGAAAUUUCCUACCUAUCAAACACACCCUAAGAAGAAUUUUCAAGAAUUUGUUUCCAAACAAAAAUUUAGGUAAUUUCAUUCCAAAGCAUUUUAACAAAAUGCAAAAGUUAUAUCAAAAUAGCCUUGAGAAUUCCUAGGAGACUUAUGAUAUCAAAAUUGUGUUUCCUCCUCUAGGAUUCCUGUCAAUCUGAUGAAAAAUUUCUUGAACAAUAAGAAUGUUGUCACCCGUACGUCUACCGGGUGGGAAACCACUUUGGUUAUGGGAGAUUAUUAGAGGCAGAUAUUUGUCAAGUAACAUUACAUAGACUAAUAGGCAUAAUCAGUCCAUUGUUGCUUAACCUUUCCAGAAUUAGUGCUAACGCAGUAGCUGUGAUACCUCUCGAGAUCAUCUUACCGCCAAAGAAGUCUUGUACUGCAUCCACUAGGUCCAGUUUAAUGAUUAACCAACAAAUAUAACAAACAAUUAUGCUUUGAGUACAGGGUAACCUCCACCGAGCACUCAAAGCAUGGGUUGGUAGGGUUUUUGGUAAUUUUUUAUGCAGGUGGGUCUGUAUGAGACCCACGUGCUGUGAGGGUCAGUAGGGGGUUUUGUGAACCUCUAUCCUAGUAAAAUAGCAUUAUUAUAUAACAAAAGGAGGUUUUGAAUCCACCCAUGCCACAUAUUUUGAUUUGAUAAUAUUUUGAUUCCGUAUAAAUAAACACUAGACAUUUAAGGCAUGCACUAUCUAAGAUUUUAAUAAAAAUCAUUAUUUGUUAGUGAUUACCGAAUAACCUCCAUUGAUGAUUUUCAACGAAAAUGUGUUCUUGGUGUUGUUGGCAAUCUCUGACAGUUCUUUUGUAUGACAAGCGAAAUUUUUUCUUUUUAUACUUUUUAUUUUAUAAACUGUCGAUGAUUAAGUUCAAAUAUCAAUUAUAUUAUAAUAUUACUAGGGAAUAAGAUAUUCUUUAAAUUUAUUAUUCAUGAUGGAAUUUCCAUUAGUAUUUGAUUUUUUUACUACUUUAUUUGUUGACCAAUUUUUUUGGGAAAUUUAACUUUACAAACUAUUUAUAUUUUUAGUAUUACUAACUAAAAAUUUGUUAGAUUCUUAAAACUUUGUUAAAUUACCGACAUAAUUUUAUUGAAAUAAUUUUAAAUUUUGUUAUUCGUAUUACUUAAUUUAACAACAGAAGCACUAUUGAUAAGUUGAAUUUAUUUAGAAACUUUUUUUCGAAAAAAAAAAUCACUGAAAUAAAUACCAUUUCCAUUUGAUUUGAAAAAAAGAAAAAAAGAAAAAAAAUGAAUUAUGUUGAUUAAAAUUGCAGCAAAGAAAGCAGACGAGUUUGAGGUAUUCCUAUACAAUGUCGAGAAUCCUUCUACUCCUAAUGUGCCCAUAUCUAUAUACUAGCAAAAAGAGUGGGAUAAUGACUCGAUUCUAUGCCAAGGUUAUGAGAAGAUUUGUAAAAGGUCUAUAGUGGACUAGGCGAGAUCAAACAUUCCAUUCUAGAGCAAUCGUUUCGAAAACAUGGAGCGAGGCAAAACCAAGAUCCAAACACGGCUUAACCUCUUGGAUUUCUUAUUUAUUUAUUUGAUAUGCAUACUUUUGUUAGUACUAGUCAACGUUGGAUGUGCACGUUAUUAUGAAAUACUUUAUAAAUGCUGUAAAAGUAAUAUUUGAAUAUGUGUGAAUGUCAAUUAAUUUAGAAUUUAUACUAAGGAAUAUAUCUAUGACAAUGAUUGUUAAAUUAUUUAUUUAAUUUUCAUUAAGUAAAAUAUAAUGGUAAUUAACAUAUAUAGACGUGAAUAAUAAAAUGCACUCUUAAAUGUAAAAUUCUAAUAACUUAUAAUUAGAUUAAAUAACAAUGAAAUACAUAAAUGAAGAUGAAUAUUAAUUAAAUGAAUGUGAAUGUUAAUUAAUUUAGAAUUAAUAAUAGAGAAUUCAUACAUUAAUGAAAGCAUAUAGGUGAAAUGAAUCUAUCAAAUGCACAUGUAUAUUGAUGGUAACUAAAUGGUAAAAAAUAAAUUAAAUGCAAAUCGAAAAAUGAAAAGCAAGGUAAUAUCAAAAUAAUGGAAUUAUAGUAGCGCUAAAAUAGUUCAAAAAUUGAUUCUUACUUGAUGUGAUAUUUAAUUUCAAUUAAGUAAAAAUUGAUAUUAAUUAGCAUACAUGGACGUGGAUAAUGAAAUGAAUUCUUGAAUGUGAAAUUCUAAUUAACUUAUAAUUAAAAAUAAAAACACUGAAAUACAUAAAUGAAAACGAAUAAUAAUUUAAUGAAUGUGAAAGUUAAUUAUUGAGAAUUAAUAAUAAGGAAUUCAAACAUUAAUGAAAGUACAAACGCGGGUGAAAUAAAUCUGUCAAAUAUACAUUUACAUUGAUGAUAACUAAAUGAUUAAAUAAAUUAAAUAUAUAUUGAAAAAUUUAAAGUAAGAUAUUAUUAGAAUAAUUGAAUUAUAGUAGUGUUAGAAUCAUCCAAAAAAUGAUUCUAACUUGAUAUGAUAUUUAGUAUAAAAUAGAUUAUUUAUUGACAACAUUUGAUUGAUAAAUUAAAUCUAUUAGACUAUUUAUGCUUUUAAUAUUUCUAAUUGGAAAGUUAAUGGAACAAAUAAUCAUUGAUGGGAAAUUUAUCUUUGAAAAGAGUUAUGAAUGACGAUAUUGAUGCAUAUUUGUCAUCAAUUAUCAAAAGUAAUAUUGUACACCUGUUGACAGCAUUUCGAUUACAGUCGUGUACACGAAAUCGUUGGGUAUUGACAAAGCUUUGUAUUUUAUUUUUUACAAGUUACCAACAAAUAGAUUGAAAUAUCAUUUUAUUUUUUCUUAGUGUAUUAUUUAUUGGUCACAAAUUACUCAUUUUGUUGAUCACUAUUAUUCAAAUAAUUGGUCACAAUAGCUUUUAAUCUACCCUACCACCACGUAGAUCUAUACAUCCAUUAUACCACUACACUCAGAUAUGACACCGCAACCCACCACUACAUGGUCACUAGCACACCACAACAUCAACCGCACCACGAUGACACUGUACAACCCAUCUCCAUUAAGUAUCAUUGUUGCUACGACGACUAGAUUCUCCCUCGUUAUCCUAAUGGCAAGCUCUGUUACCACGGUGGUGAAACUCGUGUCCUUUUCGAGAAACUCGCUAACAUUAAUGCUGCAAUUUCUAUUUCUGAAGAGAGAUGGGUUUCUAUGAAAAGAAAGAUAGAGAAGCGGAAGAAGAUAUUUACAGGGGAUUGGUAGGGUGUUGUGUUCGAGUACAAAUGAGCGUGUAUAACAUGUUUUUAAUCCCAUUUUUGGCUCCAUUUUAAUGAGGUUUUGGAGAAAUGUAUUUUAGAAUAGUAAUAUUUUGAAGAGUGUAUGGUUAAAAAUCAAAGAAAAUUUUUGGUUUACAUGCAAUAUUAUUUUAUUGACAAAUGUGUUGUUGAAAAUAAAGAAAGAGGAGAAUGCAUUAAAUUAAAAUUGAGCCGAAACAAGGGCUAAAUUAAAAAAGUCAUAACUUGAUUUUUGAAUCAAACAAUUAGUAUCUGAUUUUUGAAAGUGAAAAUUAAAAUGUAAGGUUUAAUAUAAUUUUCUCAUUAUUAAAUGAGAAUAUUAUCUUUUGAUGUUUGAGAAAAAAAAAAUCAAUUGCACUUUAAGUAAUAAACUUACUGGCUGAAGAAUAGAUUAAGACCUUGUUUGAGCCCAAUUAUUCUAAAAAAUCAUUUUUUCAAAACUCAUUUUCAACCACUCAUUAUUCAAUAAAAUAAUAUUACAUAUAAAUCCAAAAUCUUUUCUUAAUUUUUAGCCAAAUAUUCUCUAUCCAUCUAUUAUUCAAAAUGCAUUCUUUCUUCCAAAAUGGGGCUCAAACAAGGGCUAAAUAGUUAAACAAUGAUUAUACUUACAAAAUACCGAGCUUUAUUUUUAAAAAAAUCGCGAUUAAUAACAUACACAAUUUUAUUCCCAAUAAAUUCAAAAUAAACACUCAAUAGUUUAAUGAUUUAAAUUUUCCCUAUUUAAAUUUUGAAUAAAAAUUCAAAUAUGAUUUACCAAUAGAAGAAUGAUAAAAAGAAACAAUCAAAUCUUUAAUGAUAGAUUUUUGCCAUAUGUAACACCUCCAAUAUACUUUGAGUAAAAUAUUGUCAAAAUAAUAACCACCCAUCCCUUACUGUUUGUUAUUUGGAGGGAUUUUGUGAACCCCUCCCUGUAUUUGGAGUCUCUCUCUUAAUGAUAUUGUCUUAUAUGAACGACCAGAUCCAUGUCAAUGAUGAUUCUUUCACAGUUAUUUUAAAAUAUCACUAGGUGAAGAAAAAUUAAAGUGGAAAUUAAUUAAUUUAUUUUUUUUUAAAAAAAAGCAUGUUUCCAAUAAUAAAUAUUUGAAAUUUUGUUAAAACAUUGAAUUUGCCAACGCAAUAGAUCUUAGACUCUACAAAGACAUGCUUAGUGGGUUGGAUGUAGAACUCGUUUCAUGCCAUUAAAAUUAGAUUUUUAGUAGAUUUUGAUAAAAGUUGAUAAAAUAUGUAGAAAAAUUGAUAGACUCAUAAAACAUAUGGUUAAGAUUAAUUGUAAACUUUAUCUUAGAUUAAAAUUUGAAUUUUAAUAUCUACCAAAUAGGGUCUUAGUGUCUGACCAAAUCUAGCACUCAUCAAUUGGGUUGAAACAAUGAGUAUGUAAAAAAAAUAGUUUGAAAUAAUAGUUGUCAAAUAUGGGCUAAAUAUUUUUAUCUCUCGUCUGAGAGAUUACUUUAGGGUUUAAGCCAUUUUUCUCUCUAGUGGUUUUUUUUUUUUUUUUGGUGUUUCGUCUUCUUUCUGAAUUUUUCCUUUCUGUUUAAGGUCGAUGUAAAUAGAUAGUAUGGGAGUUUAUAUACUGUUCUUGGUGAACAGUAGCCUCUGAUUACAUGUAAAUUGAGAGAGAAAUCUGUAUCAGAGAGCUUCUUGAUUUUGAAACUUGGUGUAUUAUGUUGUAAUAUCGAACAUUUUGGUUAUGCUAGUGGAUUUAGAGCAUUAAAUACAUUUGUGGAUGAUCAAUGUGCUGAGUAGACCUUUAGGCUGGACAUUUGAGCCUUUGUGAUGAAAAAUCUUGGUGUUUUUGUUUUACUUUGUUAUAUUUUAUGUUUUCGGUCAUUUAUGGGACCAAUAAUGGUAUCUAAGCCUUUGAUCUGAAGUAGAACUCCUUCGAACCUUCUUUACUUGACUUUCUAUGGUUUUAAAACUGUAGAUUUGUAUAGAUUUAAAAAUUUCAAGGGUGAAAUCUGGUUUUCUUGGAGAUUCACAAUGGGCUCUCUUAAUAUUUUAUUUUUAUCUUGCAUAUUAACUUCCGAUAACAUACUCUAACCCUACUUUUAAUUUUUUUUUUUUUGGUUCAAUCACUAUAUUCUUGGAUCUCUUGACAUUAACUGUCUUAGAGCUUCUUUUGUACAGAUUUUUAUGCGAGAACCUUAGAAUUUGAAAAGACUACAACCAAGUUUUAUCAAUCAUUUAAUCUUUGCAAUUUGUAGUUAAACUGUCCAUUAAAUUGAUAUGUUAAUGUUUGUAUAAUUGUGAGGGUAUACCGUAUGUUAAAAUUGUAAGUUUUGUGAAUGUUGGAUUUUGAUACUCAAUAAUCCGGACGAUGAUUUUAAACCGAUGUUGGAUAAAAAUAAAUAUUGAUACCCAAGAUUGAUGACCCGACCCUAAGACUAUUUUGGCCAUUGGAAGCAACCUAAUUACUUAGUGUUGCUCAUGACCCGGUUUCACACUCAUUGGAUGGCUAAUAUAUGUUGGCCCACUCACUAUUUUUGUAUUGGGCUUAACCCCAUCACUUAACCUAACCUAUCCUAUGUAAGCUAGCCUUCUUGGUCUUCUAUUAUUAACGUGUAUUUUUGAGAGAAAAGUUCCUGCCUCUUGCUUGGCCAGUUUCUUCUUAUUCUUUUCUAGCCUUUGUGGCUAAAAAUACCCUCCCUUUUUGUCCUAAGUGGGUACAUAUCUUGAGCAACCGGAGUGUGGAAGAAGUUUAAGGUUUUGGAUCGUGAUUGCUUGGAUGUAUUGAUAAGGUUGAGUUGGUAUCUUGAGCCCAAAAUUUCACCAAUUGGAGGUCGAUUAUUCAACAUUUGGUAUCAAAGCGAGGUUGGGAUGGAAUUUCUGAUCAAAAUCUAACCAGAAUCGAAGCAGAAAUCAGCUAGAUUAAAUUGUCUAGAAUUUUUCACAAAAAAUCGGACUUGCAACCUCAAUUUUCGGCCAAUCCAGAUGUCUUUUGGUGAAACGGAGGCCAGAAUCAUGAUUUGUAGGUGGAGGUGGUGCUGGGUGGCCGGCGCAUCUAGGUGACGACUGUCGACGGCAAAGGCGCGUGGAGAUUUCGACGAUCGCACGUUGGGGCGCGUGUGGGUUCCUUUGGCGAUGACUUCUUCAGGUAGAAUUUUUCUAACUUGUUUUCUAACGAUUUUGUGUUGUUAGUUUUCAGUUUCGGGAUACACAGAAAAAGUUGGAUGAUUUCGCCCCUGGACACUCGGCUAUUGGUUGCUAGACAUUCGUGUUGGCACACCCGCUGAACUUUAGGGCGAAUAAUAGUGGCCCUAAAGCAGUUGAUUCGUAUCUCUCGUAAUUUACGUACUCAGAUAGGUCCGCUCUGGUAAAUUGGCUGAAACAUUCACAUUAUCACAUUAGCUAAUCAUCAUGUGGGACGAUCAUUAGAAUUGGGGGUUGUCAUUGCUUGUGUUAGAAAAUUUAGGAAUUAUCUGCCCUAUUUGAAGUGUUGAAGUUGACUGUAGUUGGUAAUUGAUUUUGAGCUCUAAUUGUCAUAUAGUCACUGUGUGAGACUGCAUUGCGUGAUAAUUAGAAUUUUUUUUAAUAAACAUGUUGCAUUGAUUAUCCUGUUAGAAUAUCUGGACUUAACUCGUUUGAAACUUUUCUUGAUCUAAGAUCGCGAAUCUUACGAAACCUUGGGAACUAGAACAAUGUAUAUCUGUGUGACCUAUCUGUGUAUUUAGUUGUUCUGUUUUUCCAAAAAUGUCUUCACAUUUUGAAGUCGGUGUUUUUAAAGGGUCAAGGAAAAUUUUCAAUUUGACAACAAAAGAUGAAGGAAAUUUUAGUUUAACAAAAAGUUUCAAAAGUCGUAGAUGGCAAAUUUCCUGCAAAUUUGACUGAAACACAAAAAGAGGAAUACGAUGAACUUGCUUACACUUCGAUUAUCUUACAUUUAUUUGACACAGUUUUGAGAAAAGUUGGGGAAUUGGAUUCUACAUAAGAACUUAGGAAAAAAUUGGAGGACUUAUAUUUACUUAAGUCCACUCCUUAUAAAUUAUACUUACUUGAAAGAUUUUUCAAUUUUAAAAUGGAUCCUUCAAAGGAUCUUGAUGACAAUCUAGGUACUUUUAACAAACUUGUUCAAAACAUUAUUAACUGUGAUGAAAAGGUGCCUAAAACUAAUAAACCAAUUAUCUUACUUAAUUCUAUGCCUGAUUCAUUUAGAGAGAUUAAGAAUGCAAUUAAGUAUGGUAGGGACACCAUAACAUCCGAGAUUGUCAUAGACUCACUUAGAAGUAAGGAAAUGAAAAUUAAGAUUGAAAAUGAAGAUAAGAGGAGUGGAGAGUUACACAUGAUAAGGAGUAUGAUAAAAUUUAAGCAAAUGAAUUUGGGUAGAGCUCAAAAUAGUGUUGAUUCAAGUAGUGAAUCGAGUGACGAAGAUAGUAAGAAGAAGGGCAGGGGACGAGACAAGUCUAGUGGUAAACAGUGUUACAACUGUAGUAAGUCUGGACACUUUAUUAGAGACUAUACCAAGAAGAAAGAUAAACAGAAGGGUAAUGUAAGAGGUGAGAUGAAUGUGUUGAGGGGUCGAGUUAUAACCCUAAUGAGGUUUAUUGAGAGCAAACCUAGUUACUGUAUGUGCAUCUAUGUGUGAUCCUUUUUUGCAUAUGUGUGAUUGCUUAAUUCUAUUGCAUGAUUAUACGUUGCAUUUCAAUUUGUUUGAUAUGUGUAUUUGCAUGAAGUUGAGGUAAUAUGAUUAAUUGAUGUGAUUGUGUGCAUGCAUAGUAGGUUAUGAUGCAUUAGUAGUAAGUUAGAUGUAUUUUGGUAAGGUAGAGUAAAGAUGCCUAGGGGUACAUUGUGGUUUGUACCAGGGAUGUGGAGUGUGACAUUUGGAUCACGAGUGGAAAUGUGACCAAAUGUCUAGAAUCCUUUAUUUGUGAAAAAGACCCUGUACAAGUGGAGUGUGCGAGAAGCACUUCUGUUACUUCGGUAAGGUCGAGACCCAUUAUUCACGUAGGUUGGGAAAAGUAACGUGGUGACAGAAGAUUAUCCCAAGAGUUUAGGAUCUAUUGUGACUUGCCAGUUAGACAUGAGUUGAGUGAUUAUCUAAUCAGCAUGGUGGGUGAUGAGAAGAGAUAUGUAUUUUCGAGGUGAGAGUAACACGAAAUGGAAUAAGAUAAGUGUGGUGAGAUUUUUCGUGGGGUCAUUUAUGUAUUUGUUGCAUAUGCGUUUGACCGUGUGUUAAUUAACUUAGUGUUAAUUUAUGGUUCUGUGUGAACACAAUUUUGAAAAGAUCUGUGUAUUAUCCUAGAUAAUAUUUUCAUCGCAUGAUUAUUUGUUCAUUGUGAAUACUUGUUCUUACUUGGGUGUUUCUUUGGACUUUAAUCUUGGUGAGUACAUGGAGUAAGUAUUAUAUGUAUUUCAGGUUCGAAACACGAGGAAAGGUCUGUAAUACCAAUUUUAUUGGAUUACCUUGAUUGUGCAAGUAUAAACUUUGUGUUUUGUUUGCUUCCAGAUUAUUGGGCAUCAAGGUAAAGAUUGUUGGAUUUUGAUACCCAGGAAUUCGAGCGAUGAUGUUAAACCGAUGUUGGAUUAAAAAUAAAUAUCGACACCUAAAAUUGAUGACCCGACUCUAAGACUAUUUUGGCCAUUGGAAGCAACCUAAUUAAUUAGUGUUGCUCAUGGCCCGAUUUCACACUCAUUGGAUUGCUUAUAUAUGUUGGCCCACUCAUCGUUUUUAUAUUGGGCUUGACCCCAUCAUUUAACCUAAUCUAACCUAUAUAUGCUAGCCUUCUUGGUCUUCUAUUAUUAACAUGUGUGUUUGAGAGAAAAGUUCCCAGCUCUUGCUUUGUGCUCUUGCUUGGCCGGUUUCUUCUUGUUCUUCUCUAGCCUUUGUGGUAUCGCCUUUGUGGCUAAAAAUACCAUCCCUUUGUGUCCUAAGUGAGUAAAAAUCUUGAGCAACUGGAGUGUUGAAGAAGUUUAAGGUUUUGGGUCGUGAUUAUUUGUGUAUUGAUAAGGUUGAAAUUGAUAUCUUGAGCCUGAAAUUUCACAAAUUGGAGGUUGAUUAUUCAACGGUAAAUAUUUUGAAGUUUAACCCUUUCUUUAAAAUUUAUUUAACACAAGUUGAGUGAUUACAUAUCUCGUAAAGGUGUCCCCCUUUAAACCAUUGAAACUCUUUCUUUGUGAAAAAAUUGGUUUUCAAGAAACUAUCCAUUCUGAAAGGUUUUAAAAAGAGAAGAAAAUUAGUUUUUUCUUUGGUUUUUCCAUAUAUUGCAAACAUUUUUGGAGCCAACAUUUUUUUUUCCAAAAGAAAAAUGGGAAGCACCAAGUUAGAUGUUAAGAUUUAGAAUAGCAAAAAGGAUUUUAGUCUCUGAAGUCAGAAAAUGAGAGCUCUAUUUUAGAAAAAUAUGUGUUGAAGUCUUGGAUGAAUCUUGGAUCGAUGAUUUUGAUUCAACCAAGAAUAUUGAUCAUAUUGAAAUUUCAUGGAGUAAUUUGUUUUUGCAUUAUCUUAUAGAGUGACAAGAGAAGUUUAUAUAUACAACAAAAACUGUAGCACAAUAAUGGAAAAAAUCAAAAUAUCUUCAUCAAACUAAAAUACUACGAAAUAAAUGUUAUUUGUGGAAGUAUGGAGGAUUUUUUCAUAGAUAGCUGUCUGCAAAAAUCAAGUACUUAUAGCAAGUUUCUUUUUGGAAAUAGUUUUUAAGGCUCUGUAUGAGUCACAUUUUUUCAAAAAAAUAUAUUCUUUAACAGUGAUUUGACAUCAUUUCAACCACACAUUCUUCAAUAAAAUAAUAUUACACGUAAAUUCAAAAUUUUUCCUUAUUUCUUAACUACACAUUUUUCAUCAAUACACUAUUCAAAAAUGCAUUUUCAUUCCAGUAAUGUAGCUCAAACAAAGGCUAAGUUUCAAAUCUGAUUCCAAUAUAGAUCUUGAAGCAAACUUGGACAGAUUUAAUAAGCUAUCCUUGAAUCUAACUAAUGGUUGUGAAACUAAAUCUAGUGAUCAACAAUCUGAGUUUCAUAUAGUGCUUUUGUCUGAAAAAUACAAAGAUACGAAAAAUGCUUUAAAAUAUGCGAAAAAAAGUAUAACUGUUGAUAUAAUUGUGUUUUCAUUGAGAAAUAAAGAUUGUAAGUUAAAAAAUGAAAUCAAAGAUUCCUCAACUAGAAUUAGUUCAAUAGUUAAAGCAAAGAAUUUUCAAAAGGAAACAAUAAUAAUAAAUUCGAUAAAGAAAACACCGGCGAAGGCAAAUAUUUUUUUAUUAUUUUUUCUUUUGAAAAAAAAAAUUGUAUUAGUGAAAAAAUAAAUAGAAAAAAAAAAUUAAGGCUAAAGGUAAAAGUUGUCAUUUUUGUGAAAACUUAGGAUUCUUUAUAAAAUAUUGUUACAAGAAGAUAGAUGAAAUGAAAAACACUCAAAAGACUAAGGAUGUAGUUGCAAUAGCUUAUGAAGAGGCUGCAACUACAAAUGAAAAAGUCUAUAUGGCUAGCCAUUUAAUAGUUAAAGAUGAGUGAAUUCUUGAUAUAGGGCAUGCACUUCGUAUGUCUUUUUAUAAAGAAUGUUUUCCUGAAUUUUUGAAAAUUAAUGGCGGUCGAUUAACUAUGAAAAUUUAUUUUUCUUGCAAAAUAAAAGGAAUUGAAAAAAUGGUUUUAAAUUUUGGAAAUGAUCAUACUCUAAUUCUUGAAAAAAUCGAAUAUAUACCAGAUUUAAGGAGAAAUAUAAUUUCUCUGGAAAUUUUUAAUGAUGAAUGUUACAAAAUAAUCAUAAAAAUUUGAAUUAUUACUAUUCUUAAUAAUUUUGCUAAAAUAAUUAAUACACCAAAGACCAAUGUAAUUUAUGUUUUAAGGGCUGUACUCUUGGUGGGUGAUCCACUUGUUGCUGUAGUAUCUUAAAAUGGCAUAAAAGAUUUGGCCGUAUAAGUGAUGUAAUUUGCAAUAUUAGAAAAAAUAGAGAAUAUACAUACAUACAUACAUACAUAUAUAUAUAUAUAUAUAUAUAUAUAUAUAUAUAUAUAUAUAUAUAUAUAUAUAUAUAUAUAUAUAUAUAUAUAUAUAUAUAUAUAUAUAUAUAUAUAUAUAUAUAUAUAUAUAUAUAUAUAUAUAUAUAUAUAUAUAUAUAUAUAUAUAUAUAUAUAUAUAUAUAUAUAUAUAUAUAUAUAUAUAUAUAUAUAUAUAUAUAUAUAUAUAUAUAUAUAUAUAUAUAUAUAUAUAUAUAUAUAUAUAUAUAUAUAUAUAUAUAUAUAUAUAUAUAUAUAUAUAUAUAUAUAUAUAUAUAUAUAUAUAUAUAUAUAUAUAUAUAUAUAUAUAUAUAUAUAUAUAUAUAUAUAUAUAUAUAUAUAUAUAUAUAUAUAUAUAUAUAUAUAUAUAUAUAUAUAUAUAUAUAUAUAUAUAUAUAUAUAUAUAUAUAUAUAUAUAUAUAUAUAUAUAUAUAUAUAUGUAUGUAUGUAUGUAUGUAUGUAUGUAUGUAUGUAUGUAUGUAUGUAUGUAUUUAUGUAUGAAAAUAUCAUUUUUGUGAAUAAUGCAUUUUGGAAAAAUAAAAAACAACUGUCUUUCUCUAUCGGAAUUCAUAAAUUCGUGUUGUCAGUGGAUUACUUGCAUGUUGAUAUGUGGGGACCAACUAUUGUUUGCAUAUAUCCAGGUUUUAAAUAUUUCUUCAUAAUAAUUGACGAUAUCUCUAGAAAGAAUUGGGUUAUCUUACUAAAGAAUUAGUUCGAUGCUUGAAUUUUAAAAAUUGGAGACCUCCCAUUCAAAAUCAGGUUAAUAAGAACUUAAAGACUCUUAUAAUAACAUUGGAUUCUGCAAUGAAGAAUUUGAUAAUUUCUAAAAAAAAAAAAAAUGGAGAGAGAGAGAUUCUUAAGCACAAAACUGUUACAUAUACUCAACAAAAUUCUUUAGCAAAAUAAAUAAAUAAACAAACAGGACUUUAUUAGAAAAUGUUAGAUGUUUGUUAGUCAAUUCAUGGUUCAAAGUUAUUUUGGAGACAGAAGUUGUUAAGACUGCAACAUACUUAAUUAAUAAUUGCUCUACUAAAUCACCGGAGUACAGAAAACUUGGAUCAAAUAUGCAAUGAUCAUCUUGUUGAUCAAAUAUUUAAUGUAUUGUUUAUGCACAUUAGAAUGAACGAUUAUUAGAAUUAAAAGUUAUUAAAGGCACAUUCUUUUUUUUUUUUUUUUUGAUAUUCAGGUAUUCACCUUACAGUGACUAAAUCCUGGAGUCUACACCUUGGCCCCUCAAGCUGCAGACAGGUUAAAUCACAGAUUGUGCCACAAACUAACCAGUGCUCAAGAGCCCCCCAACUGAUCUGCUAAAGUGCCAAACAAGUCGUUUCUCAUCUUUGCACUCUGCCUUCCAGUAGAGUUCCUGCCUUCCAGGAUAAAUCCUGCCUUCCAGGAGAAUAUCUGCCUUUCAAGAGUCUUCUAGGAAUCGAACUCACGACCUCUGAUGUGCCAGCCUUGAAGCGCCCUCAUCUUUGCCAGUUGGAAUGUGCCCUGAGGGGCUAUUAAAGGCACAUUCUUGGACUAUGGGAAAGGGGUAAAGGGCUACAGACCGUAGCUUAAAAAUAAGAAAGACUAUAGAGUCAUAAUAAGCAUAAAUGUAACUUUUAAUGAGAGUGAGAUGCCUUGUUUAAACUUUCAAGGAGGAAAUUCUAUAAGUAAGCAAUGAUGGUCCGGUUAAAAAUUGAGAUAGUUGAUCUCAUUUCUUUAGAUUUAAAUCAAACAAAUGAUGAUCAAAUUAAGGAAGAACAAAUUUAAAUAGAAGAAAAUGCCCUGAAAUUGAACACUAAGAAUCUUGAGUCUGAAUUGGCUUGGGAUAAAGCCAAGAGAGGAACAAGAACAUUAACUAGAUUUGGUGAAGCGAAUUUGACUUCUACAUAUAAUGUAUAGAACUUUCUUGAAUCUAAGCCUAAUUAAUUUGAAGAGGUCGUAAGCGGAGAAGAUGUAAAUUUCUGGCUCGCAACUAUGAAGAAUGAAAUGCAUUUCUUAUUAAAAAAAUAAAAUCUGGACCUUAGUCAAUAAACCAAAUGGAACAAAAAUGUUCGGUUGUAUGUGGAUUUUUAAAAGGGAAAAUUACCUAGAAACCAACAUUUAAAGAUUAAUUUUCAGAAAACAAGGGAUUAAGAUUCAUUUUCACAAAUCAGGUGCUAAUUAAAUUUUACAAAUUAAAACUUAUAAAAAUAUAGUCACAACAUUAAAUAUACAUAUUCAUCCCACCUAAUCCAUACCCAACUACCCACACCAAAACCCUAAUAUUUUCAUCCAUUCCCAUUUUCUCUCCUCUCUCUAUCCCACCUUUCCUCUCUCUAGCCAACGCUGGGAAUCACUGUCUCCGCCACACCUCCAGUACCACCUCCCCCUUCACCACCAUAGCCAAAAUCACGACUAUCACCAUCCGAACACAACAAAAUUCUCUUGUUCCAUACGCCAUUUUCACUAAGAGAAAAAGGCAAGUAAAAGGGAAUUACUACUUCUAUACACACAGAUCAACUUUCUUCCAAUCUACGCAAAGUAUCAAUUUCUCAUGUUCCAUACGCCAUUUUCACAGAGAGAAAAGGUGAAGUAAAAGGGAAUUUAAUUAUUGUUUGUUAAUUAAUUAAAUAAAAUUGUCUAUCAAGAGUGAAAGGAAGUCACCGUCGAGAAUUGGGAAGAUCGGGCCCUACACUGUGUUUGUGACACCUCCGCCCACACCCAAUCUAAGUUUGAAAUCGAAUUCCCCCAAAACACCCGUUGACGUUCCAAUUCAGGUCUAGAGACCGGUUGAAAAAAGUUGUACAGUCUCCUUUUCCGAUUAUGGCUCCGCCAGUGUAGUACAACAUCUUCCUCCGAUUAUGGUUAUCGUGGUUCUAAUCUGUGGGUAGAGUAAGAAGGCUAAUGGUUGUUGGUUUUAAUCUAUGUUUCUGAUGGUGGAUUUGUUCUCCGUACAGCCAGCGAAGGUAGUAGGGGUUUCAUAGUAGACAAAGUAUUGGUGGUUCUAAUUUGUGUGUAGAGUAAGAAAGUUGUAGCCGGUGAUGGUUGGUGGUGUUAGAUUUGUUGGUGGUCAAGAUUUGUGUUUCUGAUGGUUGGUGGUGGUUCUGAUCUGCGUGCAUCCAGCGAUGGUUGAUGGUAGUGAUUCUGCAGCCGACGAACCGUUGGUGGUGGUGGUUUUGUUGGUAGUGAGAAUGCUCUGGUGUGUGUGGCAUGGUCAAAUCUGUGUGCUGGUGUGUAGAUCUGUGCGUGAUGCAAAUCGACAGUUAUGUUUAUCUAUCUUCAUUGUGAUUGCCUGUGACCAAAUUUGUGUUAACUACGAUCGUAUGUGACUUGGUUACAUAUAGUCACAAAUUAGACUAACAUGGUCACAGACAGUCACACCAAAUACAAAUUUGGUCAUGAACACAUAAGGUCACAGUUCAUACGUUACGGAUCACAAUUCGCCGUUAAGGUCACAGUUCAAUGGUCAUAGGUUCGAGUUCACAAGUCACAAAUCAGUAUAAACGGGUCACAGAUUAAUAUUAACAGGUCACAUGUCCUUUUGUAGAAGUCACAGAUCAAAUUUAUAGAUCACAUAUUGUGUUACGAGUCACAAAUAACAAAUCACGGGUUAAAAAUCAUAUUUUAUAUGUCACAAUGUACACAAAUUACAUAUUACCCAGCAAAAAAUUGUGAAUUUAAUAUAUUUAGUUACGAAAAUAUUUUUUUGAUUAAUUAUUUCAUAACUAAAAUUUUAAUAGUAUUUGAUUUUUGAAAUUUCAAACUUUAUUUUCUUAAUUUUGAAAUUGAUCAUAUGCAUAUUCAUUUAACCUUGAUUAGGUCACUGAUUCAAUAAAACUAGUCAAAGAUCACAACAGGUCACAGAUCCAAUGGAACUAGUCACAGGUUAUUGCCAAAAAAAAAAAAAGAUAGUCGCCGGAAAAGUGAGCAGUCAUCGGAACGGUCGUUGGGAGGUCGCCGGAAUAGUCGCCGGAGAGGUUACUGAAAUCUUCGUCGGAGUCAUCGUUGGAGGUGGGUGGGGUGAAGAGAGAGAGAAUGAUUUGAUGUGGUGGGUGUGUGGUUGGAGGUAAAGUGAAUGGGGUAAAUAGAUUGAUUAUAUUGUAUUAUAAUUAAAUAUUUAAUAAAUUUAAUUAUCGCCUGAUUUUUGAAAUUUUUUUAAAAGUUUGUUAAUUUUGAAAUGUAAAUUUUAGAUGGAGGGUUUACUUUGUGUUCCCUUUUUAAAAUCAAAUAGGGUGAAUUCAAAAGCAAUAGUCUAGGGUAUAACCCGGUUGGUUGCUUAGGGUUCACUCGGGUUGAGACUAUAAUAAAACAUAAAAAGAAGGUGAGCCCUCCUACUUUGUGAGUGUUGGUCAAGUUAUUUAUCAAUCAUUUUUCUGUCAUUGUAUCUUCCAUUUUAAAAUUACUUGUGGUAUAAGGCUAUAAGAAAACAUUAUCUACUUCAACAUCCAAACUGAUUUUCUUGUAGAGAUAUUAACAAAUGGAGUCCUUCUGGUUUAUCUUCAUAGUCUCCCUAUUAUGCAUCCAUCCGCUUCUCAAGUCGCUAUUUUCUUCAAUCGCCGGUGCCCGCAAGAAGAACCUUCCGCCAGGACCCAUUUCGGUACCGUUGAUCGGAAACUUGGUAUGGCUGCGCAGGUCUCUUUCUGAGCUGGAAUUCAUCCUCCGCGAGUUCAAGACCAAGUACGGCCCCUUCAUCACCAUCAGAAUUGGCCCUCGUAUCAGGUUAAUAUUUAUCGGCAGUCACUCCCUCGCUCACCGUGCUCUUGUCCAAAACGGUGCCGUCUUCUCCGACCGUCCAAGUGCCGCGCCGACGAGUAAGAUCGUGACGAGCAACCAGCGCACCAUCAGCUCCGCCGCCUAUGGCGCCACCUGGAGGAUCCUCCGCCGUAACUUAACGUAUGAGAUUUUACACCCCUCCCGUGUGAAGUCGUACUCCAUGUCCCGCGGAUGGGUGCUUGGUGGUCUUAUUCAGCGGCUUGUGGUGGCGCAGUCGUCGGAAUCGUUUGUGACCGUAAUCGAUCAUUUUCAUUUCGCUAUGUUCUGUCUGUUGGUGUUCAUGUGCUUUGGGGACAAGCUCCACGAGAAUCAAAUUAAAGAAAUUGAAACCAUACAGCGGCGAUUGCUUUUGAAUUUUCGUAGAUUCAAUGCGCUCAACUUCUGGCCUCGAUUAGGGAGAAUUUUGUUUCGUAAUCGCUGGAAUGAGCUGAUUCGACUACGCCAAGAACAGGAAAACGUGUAUAUCCCUCUGAUUAGAACUCGUCUCCAAGCCAAACAAACGCCUAUCAAUCAAAGUGAAG
rnacentral:lncRNA from 1 species